GAAUAAUUAUCUAGACUCCAAAACAUGAGCAAUUAGCGUUAAAAAUUGUCUGCACACCACACUCCACAGGAGUCAAUGGGUUCAAUGGCGCCAGGGUAAAGUGACUCAUCAAACGAGGAGCGGACCCAACCCAUGGACUCUGCGUGGAUAGGUGGAUGUUAUUUUGGUGCUUGGGCCUGACGAGGUCUAGGUGCCAAGAUAACAACACAAAUAAAAUAUUUCCUUCGAGAUUAUGAUAAGUAAUAGACAAUUUAUUAAAAGUGAUCUUAUAUUUAGAAAAAACAAUCGGCAAUACUUAAAAAUUAGACCAAAUGAGUAUGAUAAAACAUUGUCCAAAUUUCUAAUUUAGGUUAUCCACAAUGACAAAUGUCAUUUAAAAUAAAUAAGUAAAAUAAAAUAAAAAAGGGUGUGUGUGAGCCUGUUCUCGUGUGUGUGUCAGGGCUGCCGAGGUAGGGGAGAAUCCUCUCCUACUCCGAGUGAGUACACAAGGGGAUACCCAAGCACACUUCAGAUAAAACAAUAUGGUUAAUUACUAAAUAGAAACAAUGUAUCAAUUCAGUGUUGAAUAAACUAGUUAAGAUCAACAUAGAGGGUUUGGGUUUGUAGUGAAUCAAAAUAUGGAAAACACUAAAUGCAAUCAAUAGGUAGAAUAAAAGGUUUAAUUAGGUCGUCCAAUUUAAAUAGAUAGUGGAGGGCAAUCGGGUAGGAUUAUGAAGAGAAUUGUGAUUUUGAGUAACGGUUAAGACAAGUGAGUCGCCCAAUAUUGAAAAUGCAAGUUUUAAUAUUGUGAUUUUUGUUUUCUUUCACAUCUCCCUAGUUAAAGACAAUAGGUGGAUUGACGCUACAUCUGCUGGGAAGGAGACAUACAUGCUAUGUUGUCAAAUUGGAUUCGGAAGUAGUGGGUUUACCUUCAAAUGCCACUAAUACUGCUGCAACACUUUAAUAAUUUUAACUCUGAUAAAUUAUCUUUUGUUUUAUAGUCGCCCUGAUGUGUAUUCAUUACGCACACGUAUGGCUGCAUAAGGCAGAUGCGGCUGAAGACUCUGUCUCCAUCCCUCCACUUUGCGAUCUAUACCACCAUAUAGGUGGGGAUUGAUCGUAUCCCAGGUACGGCAUCCUGCAAUAAGCCAGUAUGGAAGGCUGGUUAGCCAACGACGGGUAAGAUCCCACCUUGAAGCCCGGGACAACCUAAAUCAGGCACAGUCACGAUUACUUGGCAGAGUCACUGUGAGCACUGGCUCACUUGAUCAUGGAGUGACGGACUGCAACCAUCAUAGGAAAAGCCGGCUGAUGAAAGGUGGAGGGGGAACAGGAGUCAGAUAUGUCAGCUAUGGCAGCAGAAGUGGUCUUGGAACGGGGCAUGUCGCGUUUUAUUUCAUUUUAUUUUACCUUUGUGGUAUAGAAGGCCACUAACGCAUUUACGUUUUUUUCGGUUUAGUGCAUGACUUCGGAACAGCGUGGUUUCGGGCGGCUGAUGGUAAACCCACCCAUAUUGGGCUUUGGAUUUGGACAUACUGGUUUCGAUUUCCCUUCCCAAAGGAUUGGUUUCAGUUUGCUGAUGCUUAAGGUUAGACGUUUCGACGUUGGUUGCACCAACGACGUUCUUAGAUUUGCUUAUCAUUUAAAGCGCAUGGUUUUGACCAUUGCGCAAGGGGGGAGGUAUUGAGGAGAAUUAGUAUGAAAUAUUUGAAAAAAACAGUAACGACGCAUCUAACCCCGCAUGAAAUGUUUACGGGUCGACCCAUGCCUUCACCUGUCAUUCGAGGGCCUCAUAAAGGACCUCCAUUAGAACAAUUGGAAACUGAAUUAAGACGUUAUAUGGGACAACUAACUGGCAUACACAGGCUUAUUUUUCAACAAGAGAAAGACAGAGUUCCAAAGUUGGAGAAGGAGCCACCAAGGGGGGUGGAGCCAGGUGACCAAGUGUACCUCAGGAUAUUCAGGAGAAAGUGGGACGAGCCCAGAAGAGAAUGACCAUACAAAGUCGCCAACGCAACACCAACAGCCAUCCAAGUGGAAGGAAGUGCCACGUGGUAUCAUCUCAACCACUGCACAAAAGCCGCUCAACCUAAAGCCAGGGAUGAGUGUGAGGAGGAGGAGCCAGACGCAGACACACGUGGGGCUGACCAGCUGCCCCAGGACCAGAUCCAGUCGAGCCAAGAGAUACAACAGCAUGAUGAUGCUGAAAACGGGGAGCCUGUUUCUGAUCCUUUACGGGUUGUGCCAGAUUUCGCUGGCACAAGCAUAGACCCCGAGGAAGGAUGAAACCACGGAGACAACUCAGACCUGGAAGAGCCAGGAAUCAGGGGCUGGUACUGAAGGAAGCCUAAGAGAAACACAGGACAAUCCGGCCCCAACUCACUCAGGAAUAGUCAACAAGAAAGGGAAAAUAGUCUUAUAUGCUCAGAUACCACCGCGAGACCAAGUUAAUGAAUUUGUGUUUACUGUUAUGUCGGAUAACCAACCGUUAUGUGCAUUAACCUUCAGCCAGUCUGGCAUAGAGAAGUCGGGUGACUGGGAGAGGAUGCUCUAUGGGGAGAUAGAUUGGAGUGACACUAGAAAGGAGACCGGAAUGUGAGAAUCGGACAUCAGAAGGAGGUCAUAUUCUCUUAACUGGUGACCUCUCCAAUGGGAACCACAACCAUUUCAGACAGUGUGAACAAAUGGACAUUGGACUAAUGGGUUCCAGGGCAUGGUGGCUGCGAACGGCAGCAACUACGAUGCCCAAACCCCCCACGUUAUAUAGUAUACCGGUACAUGACGAUAAUCAGAGCUAUUCAAAUCUAUGCAAGCUUGUUGACAAUCUUAGUUUUUAAUUUCUAUUAUUUACUUAUUUUUUGAAAUGUCAUUUUUUGAGUUUCAUAUUUUUAUGUCAUAUAUUCUGAAAUGCUAAUUUUCAAUGCAUGCUGAAAAUACUGUGUUAUGUGUGAAUUCUAGUUAGACAUGUUAGACAUUUGAUAGAUCUUUUUUGCCUUAAUCAGGUUGAGAUUCCUGAACAUGUUUAAAGGUUUUUAAUGAUGAUCAAAUGUAGUGCAAAAUAUGACCUAAAUGACUGUUAUGUUUUUGUUGUGGGGGGACUCGGCUGUUAUCGUUGUUGUUUUUCUUCACGAUAAAGUCUUUUGUCAAUUCUUGCUCCGGACCCCUCG
ensembl:lncRNA